CUUGCCACUAGAUGAAGGCGGCUGGGUUAGUUCGUUUUGGGCUGUGUUUGCUGGGCUUACCUCAAUUGUUGAUGAGGCCGGCCCUUUGGGUGUUCAAAUGAUGGGAAUGCCCAUCUAGGGUUAAGAUCGGACGGUCCGGAUUAAAAGUUUGGAGGAUACUUUUGUCAUCUUAAUUGUCGAAAAUCGUUCCCUCUUUUUCUCUCCCGACUCUCUCUGUAACCAUCCAUCCGCUAUGACGUUUGAGCGCAUCUUAGGUUGGGGAGGAGGGCGAAGACGAAUCCGCUCCGAGUGAACUCGGCAUCCGCCGCAACCCACUCAUCGUCUUCGUUUCGCUUCAAAAAUCCGAGCUUAUCUACAUGUCGGUAAAGUACAAAUUUCUUCCAUAACUCUCGAUUCAAUCGUCGGUUGAUGCAUUAAUUUCAAUCGUCCUUUUUUUCCCCUUAUUUCUUCUUCCUUUGCUUCGUUUGUGCUGCUGCUGCUGCUACUUCUUCUUCUUCUUCUUCUUCCCCCUUAUGGUUCCCGCCCUCUCUUGCUUUAUUUCUUUUGGUAUUUUCUCUCUUUAUUUCUUCAGAUAUUUUCUCUCUCUUCAAAAUCCCACAACAGUCUUGAUUUGGAGGCUUUGGCUCUGUUGGGUUUUUUUUCCAAUAGCUCAAAAGGGCCGAAAGGGGUUCACCAUGAACCACCUCUUUUUGCAGCUAUUAUACUUUGAUUAGGAAGAGAUUGGUGGAUUUAGCCUUUGCCUACAGAAUUUUGGGUCGUUGGUGGAACAACUUGGUUGCUUGACAUUAUAAGGUUCACAUACAAAUGUGACUAGCAGUUAAAGUUCCAUAAGGAGGUGGAAGCAGAAGAAGAAUUGGCGUCACCCUUCAGUUUUUCAACCAAAAGGAGGUACUAUGAAAUGGGACCCGACAAUCUACCAUAUGCUGCCAAGUUCUAUGACUUCUGUGGGGCUGAGGGUCUUGAGGCAUCUAGCUGCACUACCAGUUUCCAUGUUUUGUAUGAUGACAAUUGAUUCAUAUUUUCAGUUUUUAAACAAUAAGAUAAUGUAACCGUUCAAACUCCAGAGUGCUUUGUCAUUAAGAGCUUUUUCGAAUUGGAGGGAAGCUAUCAGAUCUCAAAAACCAAAUCUGCAGGUGAAUUGGCCCUUGCCAUUACCUGGAAAUGACUCCUCUCACUCCCAAAAGAUAAAUUCAGAAAUUCGACGGGUAAUUUUUGGUUAAACGGCAAGCAAAUGUCGUCAUCCUUCUUGCUACAAGGCCACAGCGCAACCACACACCACCCUUCUGCUCCUACUGGUGAGGUAAUAAACGUGGUCCAACCAGUAUCUGAUAAAAUGUCAUUGUAUAUAUGCUUUUGUCGAUUUCUGCUACGAUGAUGAGGGAAUAGAGAGGAUUGAGGCCAGUCGAUCUGAGGUUGAUCAAUCUUGAAUUCGGAAUUCCCUUGGAAACUGUCACAAGUGAUGUGUCUGUUGUGGCUACAUGAAUCAUUUCUCUCUACGAUGUUCUAUCCCAAUUUCUCUCAGACAGUAAGGGUUUUGGUUUGCUUUCUUGGAUUAGAUUUGUAUAUAUUCCAUUGCAUCUCAGUUUUCUUUGAUUUAAUAGCAUAAUCUGGCUCUUGGUAUUCUAACUUUGCUUGCUUUGCAUCAAAAUUGUAUCUGGCUCUUGGUUUUCUUGAUCUAAUUUUUUAUUUAUUUCGAUAAUUAGAUAAAUUAAGGAAAGAAUUUCUAUUAGUAUGAGUAUUCGAUUCUGAUAUAUCAUUUUCCUCCAUUUGACGUGAUUUUGGAUUAUUAGGACUAAUACAAGGAUAUAUUAGACUUUUAGUGUUUUCAGGCAUUCGCGCGUUUGCUUAUUAUAGAUGAUAUAUUUCUGUAGUGCACUAAUAUUUGUUUUAAAAAAAUUAAUUAGUUUUUCCUCCCUGGUGUUUGCUAAAGGUGCUUCUCGAGACGGUGUUGGAAUGUGCAGGUGAUAAGGAUUCAGGGGAUGAGGAGGAAAUGGCAAAGGAGGAGGACCAAAACACAUUCUCUGUUAGGAUAAUUGGUGCCCUGAAUGCCAUAAAGUCUGCACUCACCACUCAUUAAUUAUAUGGUGAAAGUUUUUAUGCAACCUCAUUACUUGCAAAAUUUUGUUCAAUCAACAUUCAAUGCCCUGCCAUCAGAUCAAGUUAAAGUAAGGAGAAAGCUACUACUCUUAUGGAGCUUCUUUGGCAUGGUUAUUCUCAAUCCACAGAUAGUGAUUAUUUAACGACUUCUCCAAACUUCGCUACUCAGCUUUUCAAGUACUUGCAAUUUAUUCUUAAUCAUUCUAAAUUAUUCUUAAUCAUUUACAACUUGCAGAAUUAGUUAAAUGUAUCAAAUGACUAGCGUGUGAAUUUGUGUGUGUGGCUAAAAAUAAUCUUAUCCUUAAGGAUUAUUGAUUGGGCAAA